rnacentral:tRNA from 1 species
UCUCUGGUGGUAGAGAUGAUUAACAUGCUCAGUUGCUAACUGAAAUUUGGAGGUUCAAGUCCACCUAGAGAA